GAACCACCGCAUCUCCGACUCGUCGGUGGCGUAGCGCGGGAUCACGCCGAGGCGGGGCACCUUGCCGGGGUCCGACCCCACGGGCGAGCCGCCGCCCACCACCAUGUCCAUGGGCUUCAUCACGAUCUGGAUCUCCGGGAAGAUGGCGUACCGCUCGGUGAUGGCGAAGUCGUGCAGGAACGACGGCUGCUGCACGGAGAAGAUGGGCACGUCGGCGCCCUUGUUGCCGGCCGGGUCGAACCGGAAGUACGUCACGAACGGCGGCACGGGGCCGUAGCGGAACGCGAAGAGCUCGCCGGUGACGGGGUCCUUCUUGGGGUGCGCGGUCAUGCCCAUGACGAGGCGGCCGCCGAAGUCGCACCUGCCGUGCGUGGUCACCUCGCCGGUGUCCGGGUGGACGCGCACGGCGUAGGGGAGGUCGGACUCGCCGAGCGCGUAGAGGCGGCCGGCGAAGUAGGCGAGGCUGGUGUUGGCGAGCCCGACGCCCUCCAACGGAUUCAUCUGCCCGGUCAGGACCCUGGCCGCCACGACGGCGCCGCGCGCCAUCCCGGCCACGCCGUGGAAGCCGGAGAAGACGUUGGGCAGGACGGGCGCGCCGGCGUCGCGCUCCACGAGGUACUUGUACGUCUGCACGUAGCGCGAGCACAGGACGGGGUCGUCGCCGGACGACGCGGGCGACGGGAGGAGGAGGGAGUGCAGCAUGCCGUCGCCGUCGAACAGGUGGUGCGGCCCGCGCGGGAGGUGCUGCGGGUUGGGCCCGUUGCGGAUGUAGGCGCCGC
rnacentral:lncRNA from 1 species